UGAGCAUUAGCUGUCUCUUUGGCCGCCGG
rnacentral:piRNA from 1 species